UACGUAGGGGGCAAGCGUUGUCCGGAAUCAUUGGGCGUAAAGCGCGCGUAGGCGGCCCGGUAAGUCCGCUGUAAAAGUCCAGGGCUCAACCCUGGAAAGCCGGUGGAUACUGUCGGGCUAGAGUCCGGAAGAGGCGAGUGGAAUUCCUGGUGUCGCGGUGGAAUGCGCAGAUAUCAGGAGGAACACCGAUGGCGAAGGCAGCUCGCUGGGACGGUACUGACGCUGAGGCGCGAAAGCGUGGGGAGCGAACAGG
rnacentral:rRNA from 1 species